CUUGGCGGUGCCCCACAUCAACCUAGAGGAGCCUGUCCUAUAAUCGAUAAUCCACGNUGUACCUUACCAUUUCUAGCNAACUCNNGCCUAUAUNCCGCCGUCGAAAGCUUACCUUAUGAAAGAAACAAAGUAAGCAAAAUAGUUAACAACUAAAACGUCAGGUCAAGGUGUAGCACAUGAAAUGGCAGAGAUGGGCUACAUUUUCUACCNCUAGAAAACACGAACAGCACAAUGAAACCUGUCCUCAAAGGCGGAUUUAGCAGUAAGGUAAAAAAGAANCUCUACCUUAAACCCGCUCUGGGGCGCGC
rnacentral:rRNA from 1 species